rnacentral:pre_miRNA from 1 species
UAAAUACUCCCUCCGUUCCGAAUUACUUGUCGCAGAUAUGGAUGUAUCUAGAUGUAUUUUAGUUCUAGAUACAUCCAUUUCUGCGACAAGUAAUUUGGAACGGAGGGAGUAAAUG